rnacentral:tRNA from 1 species
GGGUGUAGCUCAGUGGUAGAGUGUGUGCCUGGUACAUGUGAGGCACUGCUAAGUUCGAUCCUUAGCACCACA